UACAUGCCAAUUAGCAAGAAAAAAGUAUUCUCAAUACCGCAAAUAAGGAACUGUUCGAACCUUACCAGUGUGCGCUUAGACCUGGUCGACCCAUUAUAGGCCAGACAUCAGUUAUUCAGCCUGGAAAUCAAGCACCGAAUCAGCCAUUAAAUCGGCAGUGGAAAAUCAAAGUCCUCUCGAGACAAAUAAAGAUAAAGAAAACAUCCAAAUAGCCAGCUUCAAAAGUUUUAGAGAGAAAGGUUACCGGAGUAUUUAUGGUCGCUUGCAUUUUGGCAGCGUGGAAUCUAACAUUGUUAUGUGGGGCUAUAAGGCGGCGUUAAGUUAGUUCAGCAACUAAAAAGAUAGUUGCUACUUAGCGGAAGUUGGGAUGGACCUCCUACAGCUCGGUUGGAUGAGGUGGACUUACUUCACUUGGUAUUUCCAAUUGGCGCUGACAGCCAAAUCCAGUCUUGAUCUAGGGCGUGGAACUCUCUGAAUUUUGAAACCUAACAAAGAAGCGAUGGUUGUUCCCAUGCAAGACAUCAGUUGCAGCCAUGAAGAACCUCAAAAUCUUGUAGACCAGAAGCUUUCGCAGGAAAUACUGAUGGAAGUCUAAAACGCCGAGUAUACCCUGAAAUCCAUAACUCUCUACGAAAUCCGUCAGGAUUGACAGU